GAUCCUGGCUCAGGAUGAACGCUGGCGGCGCGCCUAACACAUGCAAGUCGAACGAUUAAAGCGCCUUCGGGCGUGUAUAAAGUGGCGAACGGCUGAGUAACACGUGGGCAACCUGCCCCUCGCACCGGGACAGCCUCGGGAAACUGGGAGUAAUACCGGAUACUCCGCACCCCCGCAUGGGGGAGGCGGGAAAGCCUUUACGGCGAGGGAUGGGCCCGCGGCCUGUUAGCUCGUUGGUGGGGUAACGGCCCACCAAGGCGAUUAUGGGUAGCUGGGUUGAGAGACCGACCAGCCAGAUUGGGACUGAGACACGGCCCAAACUCCUACGGGAGGCAGCAGUGGGGAAUCUUGCACAAUGGGCGAAAGCCUGAUGCCAGCGACGCCGCGUGCGGGAUGAAGGCCUUCGGGUUGUAAACCGCUUUCAGUGGGGACGAGGCCGCGAGGUGACGGUACCCACAGAAGAAGCCCCGGCUAACUACGUGCCAGCCGCUGC
rnacentral:rRNA from 1 species